rnacentral:rRNA from 1 species
CAAUAGCGUAUAUUAAAGUUGUUGCGGUUAAAAAGCUCGUAGUUGGAUUUCUGCCGAGGACGUCCGGUCCGCCCUCUGGGUGUGUACAUGGUACGGCCUGGGCAUCUUCUUGGAAAACGUAUCUGCACUUGACUGUGUGGUGCGGUAUCCAGGACUUUUACUUUGAGGAAAUUAGAGUGUUUCAAGCAGGCCUACGCCUUGAAUACAUUAGCAUGGAAUAAUAAGAUAGGACCUCGGUUCUAUUUUGUUGGUUUCUAGAGCUGAGGUAAUGAUUAAUAGGGAUAGUUGGGGGCAUUCGUAUUUAACUGUCAGAGGUGAAAUUCUUGGAUUUGUUAAAGACGGACUACUGCGAACGCAUUUGCCAAGGAUGUUUUCAUUG